rnacentral:rRNA from 1 species
GACGAACGCUGGCGGCGUGCUUAACACAUGCAAGUCGAACGGAAAGGCCCUGCUUUUGUGGGGUUCUCGAGUGGCGAACGGGCGAGUAACACGUGAGUAACCUGCCCUUGACUUUGGGGUAACUUCAGGAAACUGGGGCUACUACCGGAUCGGAGCUCCUGCUGCAUGGUGGGGGUUGGAAAGUUUCGGCGGUUGGGGAUGGACUCGCGGCUUAUCAGCUUGUUGGUGGGGUAGUGGCUUACCAAGGCUUUGACGGGUAGCCGGCCUGGGAGGGUGACCGGGCACAAUGGGACUGAGAGACGGACCAGAGUGCUACGGGAGGCAGCAGGGGGGAAUAUUGCACAAUGGGCGGAAGCGUGAUGCAGCAACGCCGCGUGCGGGAUGACGGCCUUCGGGGUGUGAACCGCUUUCGGCUGUGACGAAGCGUGAGUGACGGUAAUGGGUAAAGAAGCACCGGCUAACUACGUG